GAGACACUUGGGUGGGGAGCUGUGGGAACAGAGAAGGGAGACACAGUUUCACAGAGAGUGAGGGAGGCUGAGUUGGGGGUGGAUUUUAGAGAAGUCAACAGCACUGGAUGUGAAGUAGUUUAAGAGAAGCUUUAUGGUGGAGAAGGGGUAAAGAAUAUAAGUGAUAUUUUUGUUGUUUUGGAGAAAACGAUCCAGAGUAAAGGAAGAAAGCAAACAUGAGAAAGAGAUAGGAGAGACAGAAAUUUUUAUUUUGUGGGGCUAACACAUAGAGAUAUCUGGUGUAUGUGUCGGGGGUAGGGUGAGGGAGUUACAAGACAUCACUAUAUUCUGUAAUUGACUGCCACAAAUGUUAUUUUCCUGAACACAUUACUAAGUGCCUUUCUACUUUCAGUUAGAUAUGUAAAUGAUCAUCAUCAUUUUUCUUCUAUCCAAACUGGGGGAUAUAAUUGUGGGUUUGUGGGAGCUCACCUAAGGAGAGGAGAUGUACUGACGACUGAAGUUUUGUUAGAUUCCUGGUCAACUUACAGUUUUUUUGGAGGAGCAGACUGGAGAAUGGUGGAAGAACGGUUGUGCGGUUCACCCUCUCAGCCUUUAGAAAAAUGAGAAGGUGAGCUCUGAUAUAGUGCUUUAGUGCACGGACUCAGAAAGUGGAUGAGGAAGAGUGCAAUAUUGGCAGCAGUAUGCAAUUUCCUUUCUUCUUGUGUGUGACAAACAGCAUAACUUCCUCACUAUAAUCUGGUUUGAAAGUUGAGGACACUGCUCUGGCUAGAGAAUUGACUUUGCUGAUGAGCCUCUGGUCAACAUUUUCAGCUAAGACAUUCAUGAAGCUGUGUAAGAGAGAAAGGCUCAUCACCUUUGCAGAUGACACAAGCCUUUUAUGCGGGAAUCAAAGAAGAACAUGAGAGGCCAGAACACCGGAUUGAAACCAGCAAUUUGACCUUUAAAAGGUAUAAAGUACUGCUUUUAGGUUUAAAUAGUUAACUGCACAAGCCAGAGACACACAGCUUGGUAGCACACUUCUAGCAAAAAAUCCUUUGCUUUUAAUUGACUGCAAGAUCAAUUUAUCUCCGAGUAGCCCAUGAGAGCUAAUACAUGAAACCCAAACUUAGCUUUACUAAUUGGUACAUAGUAGGGGUGCUACUCUUUUCUGCUGGUGUGAAAUCAUAACUGAAAUUUUGGACUCAGUUUCUAAUAAAAAUUUAGGAAGAACCUUAAUCAAUUGUAACUGCAGAAAAAAAAUCACAUGAUUUUGAGUGAAUUAAAUAUCAUGUUUUCUCAUUUUAUAAGCUAUGGUUAAAAAACUGGAUAUAUCCCAGAAAAAUGAAUUUUUAGAAAUUCGGUGGAACUGUGAUCUGAGAAAAUGGUUGUGAAAAUGGGA
rnacentral:lncRNA from 10 species